GAGAUGCAGGGCCGCACACCGCCGACUCCUCCUAUCCCGACCCCGACCUUUCUCUCCUUUCUCCCAAUCUGGUCGGUUGGACGAAUCCUGCUAGGCAACACCGGCGACCACAACCUCGAGCAGACCAGUGGUCCGCCUCAAGUCACCUCACCGCCGGCCUCCGCCCCUAUCCUCUGCCCCAAAGCAAUCGACCUCGUCUGCCACCCUCUCCUCCCCGCCUCAUCGGAAGAGAAGAGAACAGGGAGAUCGACCAGGUCAGGCGCCGGUCAUGGCGGCGACCAGAUCCGCCACGGCCGUAGCCACCUCUCUAAGGCUCCGAUCUUGGCUGCCAUGGAGGUCAGAACAACAUGCCGAGACAGGAUCUAAUCUCGACCACGUGAGAAGACGUCUGCCUGCUCCACGCCACCGACGCCAUGGAGCUUCCCCCUUCUAGCAGGCUAGCAUCCAUUCUUCUUUGAUCCACUAUGUUGCCCCUCCAUCUUCAACCUCUCUGUAGAUUUAUUUUUGCAUACUUAAUCAUCACCCUAUAGAUGAAUUAUCAUUUGUUUCUGCCAUAAAUGUUGUUCAUAUUGUUUUCCAUAUAUUUAGUUGGUGUCACAACAGUGAUUUGAGCAUCAUGAAAAUAUAGGAAUAACCCUUAAAUUUUGGUCUGUUAUGCUGAAACGAGGAUAUGGCACCAUGCAAGCGAGAGCAGUAAGGUGGCUUCUGCAGGUUGCGGCUGAGAUUUUCAGCACAAGAAGAGGCUGGGCACCUUUGAGACUUAGAAUAGCAGGGUGAGAUGGAGUUUUAUGGAGCACUAAGGUAGAUACAGUUGCGGUACUGUAUUUUGAGUAGUAUUUCUGGUUCAUCAGUUUUGGUAUUGGGAUUGGUGGCUCUGGCGUGUCGUGAUUUUGGGUUGCUAUUUACCCAUAUUCGUGUAAUAAGUAGUUGGCUGUAUAGAGUUCUGUAGUUGGAUGUCGAGUUCUUGUUGCGGUUGUGAGGUGUUUUGUGUCUACUAAUUUAAAAUCAUGGCUGAUCCUUGUGACCAGAACCUGAAAAGUUGCUUUGUAUUACCAAUUUCAUUGCUGCAAAUGAAAUUGGGAGCGGGCAGCUCCUAAAGUCGAAAAAAUGUUGUUCAUGUUGUGCUAUGAUCUACACCAAUCGUUGAUUUGUGUGCCAGGCCACCACCACGGUCGCACCCGUGUCUCCGCUCCAUUUAAUCACAUCGUCCUACGAUGCACACAUCAUAAGUCUAGGAAGUGAUACUGGUUCAAGAGUUUCUUGGUCAGCUCUGGUCAUUGGGAUCCCAUGGAUGCCAGCAAUGCAUGCAAUCAAUAAACAUAUUUGAUCAUGUCUUCUCGAACCAGUGAGCCUCCCAAGAUGAAGUCAAUAAACUGGAGCACUCCAAUCUAUCUGCCACUUAGCCCCUGAAACCAGCAUGACUACUAGCCAACUACACUCAAAUCAUAAAACUCUACAAUCUACUUUAACUAUCUCACAUGGUAUAGUACUAGCGAGCAAAGUUUUUCAGUUGUUCACUAAACUACAGUUAUUUUUUAAACCCAAAUCAUCCUAUUGUUGCAUAGAUGUAAAGUACAUAUCUGGUAGCUUACGAUUGUUCAAAAGACUAAGACCAUGAUCGUUCCUAAAUUUGAGAUUUCAUUUUGAAUUAUUUGGUAGUAUUAAUUGUUUUGUUCUGCUUCAGCUCACUCUUAAAUAUUGGCAAUUCGUGUCCAGAGCCCUUCGUUGGCAACUCACACUCACUGGAUGUAGACAUUCAGGUGGAUGCAGCUGCUCAACCCCAAAUUGAUUUUUAUGUAAGGAUUCUUGAUAUGUAUUUAGUUCGUAAGCAUCAACCUUAUUCAAUUUAUACUUGAAUGUUAUCUAUGUAAGUGUUUGAGCCAGAACAUCUUAUGUGGUCAUGAUAUUUGUACCUUACAAAGAUUCUGUCUUGAUUCUUGAA